rnacentral:rRNA from 1 species
UGGUCUUAGCUUGCUAAGGCCGAUGGCGACCGGCGCACGGGUGAGUAACACGUAUCCACCCUUCCGUCUACUCUUGGACAGCCUUCUGAAAGGAAGAUUAAUACAAGAUGGCAUCAUGAGUUCACAUGUUCACAUGAUUAAAGGUAUUCCGGUAGACGAUGGGGAUGCGUUCCAUUAGAUAGUAGGCGGGGUAACGGCCCACCUAGUCUUCGAUGGAUAGGGGUUCUGAGAGGAAGGUCCCCCACAUUGGAACUGAGACACGGUCCAAACUCCUACGGGAGGCAGCAGUGAGGAAUAUUGGUCAAUGGGCGCAGGCCUGAACCAGCCAAGUAGCGUGAAGGAUGACUGCCCUAUGGGUUGUAAACUUCUUUUAUAAAGGAAUAAAGUCGGGUAUGCAUACCCGUUUGCAUGUACUUUAUGAAUAAGGAUCGGCUAACUCCGUGCCAGCAGCCGCGGUAAUACGGAGGGUCCGAGCGUUAUCCGGAUUUAUUGGGUUUAAAGGGAGCGUAGAUGGAUGUUUAAGUCAGUUGUGAAAGUUUGCGGCUCAACCGUAAAAUUGCAGUUGAUACUGGAUAUCUUGAGUGCAGUUGAGGCAGGCGGAAUUCGUGGUGUAGCGGUGAAAUGCUUAGAUAUCACGAAGAACUCCGAUUG